AUUACCGCGGCUGCUGGCACGUAGUUAGCCGGGGCUUCUUCUGAAGGUACCGUCACUCCGAACGUCUAUUCAACGCCGAAGCCUCGUCCCAACUGAAAGGAGUUUACAAUCCGAAGACCUUCUUCCUCCACGCGGCGUUGCUGCGUCACGCUUUCGCGCAUUGCGCAAGAUUCCCUACUGCUGCCUCCCGUAGG
rnacentral:rRNA from 1 species